ACCUCAAGGUCUUAGUUCUCAACUGAAAAUAAUUCCGUUCCUACAGGUAUGCAUCUAUGUCAUGUCCCAAAAGGCAGAACAUGGUACUGAAUAUUUUAAAAGAUUAAGGAUAUCAAAAUAAUGUGUCAGUGACAGAACCAGUUUGGAUGAAAAAUUAAAAGUACAAAUUCUGAAUAUCCCACAUACAUAUGUAACUGAACAUUUUUGUCAUUAUCUGGUUUUUCACUAAAUUCCACUUACUCUCAAUUUAAAAUAUCUCUCUGUACAGGGAUGUCUGGGUGGCUCAGUCAGUCAAGUGUCUGACUUUGGCUCAAGUCAUGAUCUCGCAGUUCAUGAGUUCGAGCCCCACAUCAGGUUCUGUGCUGACAGCUCAGAGCAGGGAGCCUGCUUCUGAUUCUGCAUCUCCCUCUCUCUCUGCCCCUCCCUGGCUCAGGCUCUGUCUCUGUCUCUCUCUCAAAAAUAAAUAAACAUUUAAAAAACUCUGAAGUAUCUCUCUGUACAAAAGAAGCCAACAGAGUAGCGCAGAGACUGCACUACUGAGGUCCCAAUAAACUCACCUUUUUGUCUGCAUAGUAGGGGUCGAGGUCCUCCAGGGGCUCUGACACCAUGCCUGGUGGGAUGUCCCCGUAGAUGAAGGGCAGCUGUUUGCCAGCUUCCAGGUCACUGCUUGGCCUUGGGCCUUCUUCGUCAUCAUCUUUCUUUUCUUCUUUGGGUUCCUUUGUUUUUCCUUCAGCAAUACGUUGUUCAAUGAGGGCAAGAGACUGUCUUGUGAAGUAGACAAAACUCUGAGGUCCUGGGGGAGGCAGCGUUGCCAUCUUUUCAUCCUGUAUAUUUUAUUUCCCCUUCAGCUCCUUACAUAAGAGGCCUAAGUGGAAACAAAGAAAGAGAUAGGUGUUUGCUAGCAAGAUAUGGCACAUUACAAAAAAUAAAAAAUGGAUUUUUGGUUUCAACUACAAGAAGUAAUGUGUUCACAGAAUUAUUAUGUUGAAUUAACAUUUACUAAGUGAUUACUAUGUGCAAGACUUAUUUUCCAUGCUAUCUAACCAUCUUUAUAUAAAAAUUUGAUCUUAGACAAUAAAUUUCAUAUUAAAAAAUAAAGGUUUAUAGAUUAUAACUUUAAAAAAUAAAUUCUAACAUGUAAAAAUAAAUUUGAUUUUAAUACUUCCCAGCUUCUAAAAUAAAAAAGUGACAAUUUAAUGGAAAAAAAAACUAUUUACUUUUCAUCUGUAUUUAGUUUUAGUGCUAUUGAAUCAACCUUCCUUAUUUAAAAUUCUUUAUGACAGUGCUUCUUUAUUUUUUUUACAGUUUAUUUUACUUAUUUUGAGCGACAGAAAGAGAGCAGGGGAGGGCAGAGAGGGAGGGAGAGAGAGAAUACCAAGCAGACUCCACACCGUCAGCACGGAGCCAGACAUGGGGCUUGAACUCAUGAACCAUGAGAUCAUGACCUGAGCCGAAAUCAAGAGGCAGAUGCUCAACCAGCAGAGCCAUCCAGGCGUCCCACAACAGUGCUUCUGAGAUUUCCAAAUUCCCAUUGCAAUGAAAACAAAGAUGGACAAGAGGAAAAAGUUUCAUGAUAUCAUUGAAAACCAGAGAAGACACUGAAGAGUUUUUGCAAAUCCGAAGAAGAGAGAAAGACAAGUUUCCCCUGAUGAGAAGAUUAAACCAGAAGCCACAGCCUACACUCAUCUGAGAAUGUCAGAAGAGAGAAACAUUUCUGUCCAGCAGAGAAGUCACAGAGUUGGCCCACAAUUAAAUAAGUCAGAAAACAAGUUGACUAAGGAUUAUUCUACCCAACAAUGUUGCAAGUCAUAUUUCCCCGCUUCCUCCUCUAUAUUCAAGUGUGAAGCAGUGGGAUUUAUCUCCAGGCUAAAUUUAACCCCAGACUAAACCAAAAAAAAAAAAAAAAAUCUCUGAAUUAAUUGAGAUAAGACCACCUAUGGUGUUCAUUUCCAUUUUUACUAGAAGCAGGGCAGGUUAAUUUACUACCUUUUUCUCAUGUGUUUUGAAUUUCGAUUUCUAUUUCCUUUUUUUUUUUUUUUUUUUGAGAGAGAGAGACAGAGAGCAGGGGAGAGGGGCAGAGGGAGAGAGAGAGAAUCCCAAGCAGGCUCCAUACCCAGCACGGAAUCCUAUGCAGGGCUUGAUCCCAUGACCCUGGGAUCAUGACCUGAGCCAAUAUCAAGAGUCAGACACUAACCGACCAAGCCACCCAGGUGCCCCUCUUUCUAUUUUUUUUAAGUUUUUAUUUACUUAUUUUUGAGAGAGAGAAAGAAAGAGAGCAUGAGUGCACAUGAGAAGGGAAGGGCCAGACAGAGAGAGAGAGAGAGAGAGAGAGAGAGAGAGAGAGGGUCCUAAGCGGGCUCUAUACUACCAGUGCAGAGCCUGAUCUCUCAUAAACUGUGAGAUCAUGACGCAGGCCAAAAUCAAUUUGGAUGUGUAACCAACUGAGCCACCCAGACUCCUCCCAUAUUUCUAAUUUAAAUGUGUUACAUUUUCACUGAAUAAUUCCUCAAAUUAUUUUGGUAAGUAAUUGGGUAUAAAUUAUAAAGCAGCAUAUCAAAAGCUGCUGUCUGUAAAUGCAGUAUGAUUUGAUAUGUCAUAAGAAAAAGUUCUGUGGCUAAAUGUGGAAAAUGCUGGAGUAGGAAACAAACAAAUUUCUCUGCCCCUGGACAAUUAGGGACUUUACACAUUUAAGAGUUUGACAGAAUUGAUAUGUAGCAGAUCCUGAAUCUGCUAGAUCACAGAACUCUUCUGUUGUUGCUGUUUUAUUUUGAUAAUGCCAGAAAUGAUAAAUUAUGAAAUAUUUCAAGCACACAGAAAAGUGUAGAAAGCAUUAGAUUUAACAAACUUUAACAGUUUCCCAUAUUUGCUUUGGACUUUUAACUUUUUGUUUUUUGAAGAAAUAAGAAUGUUCGGUUAGGGUUGAAGCCCCCAUCACUGUUCUCAAUUCAAUUAUCUUCACUUCCCCACCUACUUCCUCAGGGAAACCUAAAGUCCAUAGAGAACCCUUUGCAUUUCACACAUUAAUCUCUCCUAUGUUCUUCAGAAGACACUUUGGAAACACUGGUUUGAAGAACAAAGUGGAACAAUGGUUUGAUGCUAAAAUGAUAAAACUGAACCUAUUUAUGUAAUAUUAAUUACCCUUUUACCCUUGUGCCCUGUGGCUUUGCUAAAUUCUCUUACUGGCCCUGGUAUUUUGGUAGAUUAUUUAGGAUUUUCUAUAAAGGUGGACUCUUCUUGCCUUUUCUUUGCCCAUAUCCUAAAAUGUAGCAAACCAGAUACACACACAAAGCCUACAGGCAUUCCUCCCCAUAAAGGAAGGAUUUGUUUGGGAAACAGACCCACAUAAGGCAGAAGCAACCCUGAAUAACAGCAACAUAGUCUUUCAUUCAAAAUUAUUAACAGAUAAUUAAGGAUGAAUUGGUAAUCAAAGAUGACCAAAAACAUAAAACUGAAGGAUUCGGAUGAACAGACCAAACUCCUAACUCUAGAAGAAAGAAAAAAAUUGUCAAACACAGAGUAAUAUGAAGGGGUUAAAAUUAGUAUUCUCAGAGAGAUUUUAGAAGAUAAUCUCUUACUGAAAAGAGUAGGCUAUCAAAAAAAAAGGGGAAUCAAAAAGAAUAAAAAUUCUUGAAGGCAUGACCAUCAAAAUAAAAUUUUUGAUGUAAUAUUUGCUGAAAAGAAAUAGAAGUCAGAAUUUUAGUUACCUUUCAAAGGUACGUUACCAGGAUGGGGCACAAGUGAGAAUUCUCAGGUAUGGAGAUGUUCUAUACUUGGUCUGUGUGAUGGUCACACAAGUACAUAUACAUGAAAAAAUUCAUAGCAUUCUAUACUUUAGAUUGCCUAAUACAGUAGAGUAAAAGAGCAAAGGAAAACUCACAAUAAAAUUCAGAAGAUGUGCAAUAAUUUUGGGAGUCCCAGCAUCAGUCUCAAAAGAGGGAGCAGCAAAUGGAAGAGAGAAAAUAAUAAAAGAAUUGACAGAAGAAACUUAAUCACGAGUCAUCAGGCUGAAAAGUAUGAAAGAAGUUCAGUUAAAAAGAUAAUUCUAGUGAAAAUUUAGAACUCCAAUAAUAAAGACAAGUUUUGAAACAAAACUAUACAUUAGACCCAUAAUCUAUAUAUUAGGGUAAACUGGAGACAAUUGGAAAUUUAUUUUGUUAAUACCUCUCUUUCAAAGGCAUAACGUGUCACAUUGCAAACUCCCACAGGGUAAGGAACGUGUCUUCUACUUUCUCUGUUAGAUGAAUAGGGAAUACUUUUUCAGGUACCAUACAUGGCUGGCUUGCUGAAUGUAUGAUUUUCAGUAAUAUCAAAUUUCACUGAAUCUGACACCAAUUCUUCCAUAAUUAGGUUUAGAAAUUGGCAUUACAUUAUACUAACACCAAGAAUCCAUAGUAUGGAAUUAACAAAUCUAUUCCCUAUUAUUUUCUUAAACAUUAUGUUUUAAAAGCUCUUUUCACUUAUGUUAGGUAAUAGUAAGAAGGCAGUUAAAUACUAUUUGUCCCUAUUGUUGCCAAAAAAAAUGUGUAUGUCAAAACAAGGGUAUGGUCCAUUGUGGUUCUCAACCAGAGUGUAUAAAAGAAUCAUCUGUAUAACUUAAAAAAAUACAGCCACCAGGGCUUACCCAAGUAAUACCAAAAUAAAUUUUUGGGAAGAGGUCCUAAGCUUGCCUUCUUUUAAAGAUUAUAAAUUAUUGAUGUGAAUCCCCUUUAAGAACCAUUUUAAAGCAACAAAUGCAUUAAAUUGAAAACAUCUGGUGAAUACACACAACUUAGUGACCAGGUUUUACUACUUAGUAGGAGAAAACAAAUUCAAUUAAAGAUGCCCAAAAUUUUUUGGAUUUUGUUUUAUUUGAAGAGUAGGAAUGUAAAAUAUCAAAGUUUUAAAACUCCAUUUUAAAAUUGAAAGGGUAAACAUAAAAUCCAUUCAAGAAAAGCACCACUUAUUUUGAACUCUGAAUGGAUUUUAUGUGUUUUAUAUGUUUCUUUGAGUUAAAGAAAGAAAAUCUGGAUUGAGAAGACACAAGGGAGAAUGAGAAGUGAUGUUGAAGGAUGGAAGGAAGAUGAUAAACCAAACAGGAAAGGAGAGCAGAAGAGGAGAGAAAGAGAUGCAAGGUUAACAAAAAUACCCUCUCCCUUGGAAUACUUCCAGCUGUAAAAUUCAAGACAAUGAAAAAGUAAAGCAAGUUGUUCGCCAUGUAAAUUUUAGUUCUAAUUCUCAAUUUUAAACAUCACUCAUGUUGCUCACAUCACUUUAUCUCGAUGAGGCCCGGAAACCACAUUCUUGUAUCCUUUGUUCCCUCCAUUUUCAUUUGACGCAUGCAAUACUCCUGGCUGCGGUGCCCUAUCCUCACUCAUCCUUCAAUCUGGUCAGCAAGAAGAAGGAAAACCUACUCCUAUUGUAAAAUAACCAAGAGUUACAUCUAUUUUUCCAAGUAUUUGUUUUAAAAAGCUGAUCUCUUACGGUGACUAUAGUCAAUAAUACUGUACUGAAUAUUUGAAAGUUGAUGAGAGUAAAUCUUAAGUCUUCAUCAAAAGGAAAAGGAAAAACAUGUAUAACUAUGUAUGAUAUCAGAUGGUAACUACUUAUUGCAAAGAUCAUUUCACAAGGUAUACAAAUAUCAAAUCAUUAUGUUAUACAGCUGAAAGUAACAUAAUGUAAUAUGUCAAUUAUACCUCAAAUUUUUUUAAAAAAGCUGAUCUCUGAUCUUCUAACUUUCAGGAAUGACAACAUUGCAAAAAAAACCCACAAAGAUACUAAAAGAUAUUAAGAACUAAAGAACUUUAUGAAUACUAUUUAAGAGUGUAUACACUUCAAAAAAACAAUUUUUCUCUUUACUGAGUUUCUAGUUUCUCUUUAAAUUUGAGUUUCUGCAAGACAUUGGAAAUACAGCUCAAAUUCCAAAAUGUAAAAUAGGGGGUGCCUGGGUGGCUCAGCUGAUUCAGCAUCCAACUCUUGGUAGCUCAGGUUAUGAUCUCAUGUUCGUGGGAUCCAGUCCUGCACUGGGCUCCACACUGGGUGUGGGACCUGCUUGAGAUUCUCUCUCUCCCUCUCUGUCCCUCCCUCAUGUGCGUGCUCUCUCUCUCUCUCUCUCUGUGUGUGUGUGUGUCUCUCUCUCUCAAAAUAAAUAAAUAAACUUAAAAAAUGUAAAAUAGGUAAAAUCCUUCAGGGAUAGGUAAUGUAUACCAUGAAGAACACUUGUAUUCAAUACAGAAAAAUCCAAACUGGUUCUAGUAGCUCACAGAUAAGUAAUCAUCUUGACCUUGUUCUACCUUUUAUAGCUAUUGACUCUGUCCAGAUGACUUACCUUCUUUGAGCUUCAGUUUCCUACUUUGAAAAAUGUUAAUAAUCACUGCCUCAAAGACUGGUUAAGAUUGGGAUGGUAUGUAGAGAGUUUUGCACAUAGCUAUCAUGAAAAAAUGGUGCUGUUAAUAGUAUUAACUUGUCCUUCCAUUUGAAUUCCUUGCUUAGGUAAAUCUCAUUAUGCACCUGUAAUUAAGAGCUAUUAAUUUCAUCAUUUGAGGCUAUUUCAGUUUAUAGGAAUUACUAGCCUUUUAAACAUGAAACAUGUUUCACACAUAUGUGUAAUAGAAGCAGACUUUUGGUUUACAUUAGUGAUGCAAGUGCAAGUUCUGGAGCUAGAAAGCCUGGAGUUUGGAUCCUGGGUUUGUCAUUUACUAGCUAUGUAUGUGACCUUCGAAAUCCAAGAUAUGCACCCCUUCUGAGACUGGAAUCAUUGAAGCAUGUAGACUAGAACCAGUUACUUUAAAAAAAAAGAUGAUAUUAGACACUGCAAGCAAUCCUAGGAUAAAUACUGAUUGCUCAGAGGUUUAUAUUGCUACUGAAUUUCCUUUACUUAAGGAAAUUCCCAUUAAUUUAUUUCUGUUGCCUUGAACUUUAUAUGGAGAGUUGGAAAAUACGGUUUUUUAAUUAGACAAAGUUACGUGGCUCAAGAGCUAUAGUUAAGAUUUUUUUUUCUUUUUUGAAUUUAAGGUAUUUCUGAACAAGCUUAAAAUAAAAUGAAUUCUUCCACUUGGCUCACCUUCUGGGAAGCAUUUAAAUAUCAUUAAUGGAGUCUGUGAACAGAGUACAAGAAUGAUCCCUUCCUUCAAGUAAGAAAUGUCACAGGCAGUCUUUAUAUAGAGUUUUAGGGACUCUGGAUGCUUGGUAUGGCUGCUAAUAGACUACUGUUCUCAAAACUGUUUUCCUGGAGUCAAAUAUCAGAAGCAGCCUCCAGGAAGUUGCUUUCGGGGAUUCCUUUAGUCCUCUGGGUCCUGUUUCGUAGGAAUACCUCCUGGUUCCUUUCACAUAGGAACAACCCCUGAGAGUGAGAUUAGGGCAGAUUCCCGAACAUGCUUGAGGUCCAAAUUGGGAAUCUCCCAGAAGUCACUUACAUGAACCCCGAAACCAAUGUUUACCUAAAUGACUGAAAGGAGAAAAUGUGGGCUCUGCCCAUUAUCUUACACUGGCAAAGGUCCCAGUGGCCUCUAUUGCUUUCUUGGCCCCAUGGCAGCUACCUAAUACUGGAAUGCUAAAUUGUACUUCCCAAUUGAUUUAUUAAUGUCAAAGUGUCAACUCUGUUGUGGUUCAGAUAGGAUAUGCGUGUAUUAUGUCCAUAUAAUUUUGUAAUAUGAAUUAUGCUUUGGUGAUGAUUAUUAUUAUCAGCAUACUUUGUCUUACAUAUGAAAUCUACAUUUAAAAAAUGGAAUUAAUCUCUUAAAAUAUUUCCCAUAGAAUUCUUUUAGCAGUAAACUUUUUGACAACUUUCAGUAUUUCUUGUAGAAAGCAAUUCGAAUUUCUUGUUUAAUUUCUUGAUUAGAGGGAUUAAGAUAAGAUUAAGAUAGGACAUUUCCAUAUAUCAAGGAGGAGAAAAAUUACACAUUCAGGACUCUGUAAUAACCUCAGAUUCUGUUUUAUAUUCUGUCAUUGAGUCUCUUACCUGCAGAUAACUUUGAUUCUAUGUAUUUAAAAUUAAAAUUGGUCCAAUACACCAUUUUGAAGGUCUGCCAAAAUCUGAAUCAAAUUAGGUCAGAUCUAAAUUAUUUAAGACAGUGGACCCGAAAUAAAAUUAAGUAAAAUAGAAUGUUUUACUGAUGCUCACUGUUGCCAAGUGAAAAACUGCUUUGAAAAUGUCACUUCUCUGGAAAUAGUGAUAUUUUCCCACAGGUAGAAUUUUAGCUGGAGUACCAUUAAUUUUUAAAGCAUUCUCAAGGCACCACAGAAUCUAUACAUGAGCAUUUUCUUUUUUUUUAAAUUUUUUUUUGUUUAUUUAUUUUUGACAGAGACAGAGACAGAAUGCAAGUGGGUUAGGGGCAGAGGGAGACACAGAAGCAGAAGCAGGCUCCAGGCUCUGAGCUGUCAGCACAGAGCCUGACGCGGGGCUCGAACUCACCAGCUGUGAGAAAAUGACUUGAGCCGAAGUCGGACGCUCAACCGACUGAGCCACCCAGGCUCCCCUACAUGAGCAUUUUCAAAAGCAUUGUAAAAUAAAUCAUAGCCAACAUCAGCAGUGAUAACUCAUGAUGAUAUGUUCCCAUGAUAGCAUAUGAGAAUGGUACUUUCCUCUUUCUCUCCAAAACUCAUAAUUUUGAUCUAACAAUGAAAAAAAAAAUGAGAAAAAUCCCAACUAAGGGCCAUCCUACAAAAUACCUCAUCAGUAUUGGUCAUGAAAUUAUCAAGGUCAGCAAAAACAGGGGAAGUCUGAGAAACUGCCAUAGCGUCACAAUGCCAAAGGAGAUAAUGAUGGUUAAAUGUAAUGUGGUAUCCUGGAUGGAAUCUUGGAGGAGGAAAAAAGGCAGU